rnacentral:rRNA from 1 species
GGAUAAGAAACUAAGGGCUGACGGUGGAUACCUUGGCACUCAGAGGCGAUGAAGGACGUGGUUACCGACGAAACGCUCCGGGGAGCUGGCAACAAGCUGUGAUCCGGAGGUCUCCGAAUGGGGCAACCCCCUGCACGGUUGGCUGAAUCCAUAGGCCAACACGAGCGAACCCGGCGAAUUGAAACAUCUUAGUAGCCGGAGGAAAAGAAAACAAAAGUGAUUCCCCUAGUAGCGGCGAGCGAACGGGGACUAGCCCAAACCAGAUGGCUUGCCAUUUGGGGUUGUGGGACGGCAUACGGGAGCGGACGAGUUAGACGAAGUGUUUGAAUGGCACACCAGAGAGGGUGAAAGUCCUGUAGUCUAAAACUUGAAUGCCCUAGCCGGAUCCCGAGUAGCACGGGAGAUAACCCGUGUGAAUCUGCGAGGCCCACCUCGUAAGGCUAAAUACUCCUGAGUGACCGAUAGUGAAACAGUACCGCGAGGGAAAGGUGAAAAGAACCCCGGAUAGGGGAGUGAAAUAGAACAUGAAACCAUCAGCCUACAAGCAGUAGGAGGCCGAUUAAAACGGCUAACUGCGUGCCUGUUGAAGAAUGAGCCGGCGACUUAUAAGCACCUGGCAGGUUAAGCCGAAAAUGGCGAAGCCAUAGGGAAACCGAGUCUGAAUAGGGCGUGCGUCAGUGUUUAUAGACCCGAACCCGGGUGAUCUAACCAUGGCCAGGAUGAAGCUUGGGUAACACCAAGUGGAGGUCCGAACCGACCGAUGUUGAAAAAUCGGCGGAUGAGCUGUGGUUAGGGGUGAAAUGCCAAUCGAACCCGGAGCUAGCUGGUUCUCCCCGAAAUGUGUUGAGGCGCAGCGGUUGCUAUACCGGUUGGGGGUAGAGCACUGUUUCGGUGCGGGCGGCGAGAGCUGUACCAAAUCGAGGCAAACUCCGAAUACCAAUCGUUCAGGCAGCUAGUGAGACGGUGGGGGAUAAGCUUCAUCGUCAAGAGGGAAACAGCCCAGACCACCAGCUAAGGUCCCUAAAUUGUGGCUAAGUGGCAAAGGAGGUGGGAGUGCAUAGACAACCAGGAGGUUGGCCCAGAAGCAGCCACCCUUAAAAGAGUGCGUAAUAGCUCACUGGUCAAGCGCUCCUGCGCCGAAAAUGAACGGGACUAAGCCAUGUACCGAAGCUGUGGACAGGAAACUGUGGUAGGGGAGCGUUCUGGGUGGGGCGAAGCAUCAGCGUAAGCAGGUGUGGACUGCCCAGAAGUGAGAAUGUCGGCUUGAGUAGCGAAAACAUUGGUGAGAAUCCAAUGCCCCGAAAACCCAAGGGUUCCGCCGGCAGGUUCGUCCGCGGCGGGUGAGUCAGGGCCUAAGGCGAGGCCGAAAGGCGUAGUCGAUGGACAACGGGUGAAUAUUCCCGUACCGUGUGUGUAUUGUACUGGGGGACGGAGAAGGCUAGCACAGCCGCAUGUUGGUUAGCGGUUCAAGCCUGCGAGGCGAUGAGAGACGGUGAAAACGUCUUGAGCGGAGCGGUGAGUACGAGAGUCCACGGACUCGAAGUGUGUGAUGUCAAGCUUCCGAGAAAAGCCCAACUACGUUAAGCACAUGCCUGUACCCGAAACCGACACAGGUGGGUUGGUAGAGUAUACCAAGGGGCGCGAGCUAACUCUCUCUAAGGAACUCGGCAAAAUUGCCCCGUAAGUUCGCAAGAAGGGGUGCCCCCGCAAGGGGGUCGCAGUGAAGAGGCUCUGGCAACUGUUUACCAAAAACACAGGUCUCCGCUAAGUCGCAAGACGACGUAUGGGGGCUGACGCCUGCCCAGUGCCGGAAGGUUAAGGAAGUUGGUCAGGAAACGAAGCUGACGACCGAAGCCCCGGUGAACGGCGGCCGUAACUAUGAACUUUUUGUAGUUACGUAAAAAAAUCUGGCUAUAUGCUGGAAAAUCCGGUGUAUCUGAUACUACUCGUUCUUGAUUUUCAAGAACAGUGACAAUGUAUUCAGUGCGGACAAUCAGCAGGAAAGAUGCCUAUGGACUCCAGACUCAAACGCAUACCGCUAGAAAUUGGGUAUUAUCUCGCAGGUUUUACGGAUGGUGAAGGAAGUUUUAAUGUUUCCUUUCGUCCCCGGCCUGAUUACUCAAUUCCUUGGAAAGUCUCCGUUAGUUUCAAUGUAUCUCAAAAAGACCAGAUUAUUCUGGCUUUAUUUAAGAGAUACCUGGGAUGUGGCACCUUACGUAGCCGCCCCGAUGGGGUUUGGUACUACGAAGUGACCAAUCUCACAGCAGUAGUAGAAAGUGUGAUUCCGUUUUUUGAACGGUUCGGAUUUCUGUCUGCUAAAAAAAAGCGGGAUUUUUCUAAGUUCAAGCAGAUUGUGGCUUUAAUGCAAAAAGAAGCCCAUUUGACUGAAGACGGUUUGCGGGAGAUAUUAAGCAUUCGGGAGGAGAUGAAUGACGGUGGUAAACGCCGUUAUACCUAUCCCGAAAUUCUGGCUUCCUUAAGCAAAUCCUCAGAGACUACACGCCAGACACCAUCUACGGAUGGUGAUGAUAUAGUCCGGUCUUCAUGGCGACAUGAAGGAGCGGUGGAGGCAACUUCACCGGUCGCACUUGAACCUGAUUUUUAGGUUGGUGUAACAAAAACGAACGGUCCUAAGGUAGCGAAAUUCCUUGUCGGGUAAGUUCCGACCCGCACGAAAGGCGUAAUGAUCAGAGCGCUGUCUCGGAGAGAGGCUCGGCGAAAUAGACUUGUCCGUGAAGAUGCGGACUACCUGUACCUGGACAGAAAGACCCUAUGAAGCUUUACUGUAGCCUGGAAUUGGGUUUUGGCUUGCUUUGCGUAGGAUAGGUGGGAGGCGAUGAAGGUGCCCUUGUGGGGGUGCUGGAGCCAACGGUGAAAUACCACUCUAAGCAGGCUGAGAUUCUAACCCUGACCCGUGAUCCGGGCGGGGAACCGUUUCAGGUGGGCAGUUUGACUGGGGCGGUCGCCUCCUAAAAGGUAACGGAGGCGCGCAAAGGUUCCCUCAGGCUGGUCGGAAAUCAGCCGCAGAGUGCAAAGGCAUAAGGGAGCUUGACUGCAAGACCUACAAGUCGAGCAGAGUGGAAACACGGCCUUAGUGAUCCGACGGCGCCGCGUGGAAGGGCCGUCGCUCAACGGAUAAAAGUUACUCUAGGGAUAACAGGCUGAUCUCCCCCAAGAGUCCACAUCGACGGGGAGGUUUGGCACCUCGAUGUCGGCUCAUCGCAACCUGGGGCUGUAGUCGGUCCCAAGGGUUGGGCUGUUCGCCCAUUAAAGCGGUACGUGAGCUGGGUUCAGAACGUAAAUCAUUGCGUCACUGUGCAGUAAUGUGCAGUAGCAAACCGACUAAAAUCGGUAAAACCUUAUUCUGGGUACCGAACCCUGGGGUAAGGCCAUACCGAGGGUAAGUAGGAUACCUGUACCAUGUCGAGUCCAGAGGUAUUGAGUUAUGUUGCUGGUUUUUUGGAUGGGGAUGGGUGUAUCAAUGUGCAGUUGGUGCGUCGUAAGGACUACCGGCUGGGCUAUCAGAUACGACCCAGUGUGACCUUCUUCCAAAAACAAAAGCAUCGAGCGUUUUUAGAAUGGUUACAAUCCGUGUUUCAAGCGGGUUACAUUCGGGAGCGCAAGGAUGGUAUGAGCGAAUACAGUGUGGUGGAUGUGAAAUCUGUUGACCAAAUUUUGGCUCAACUGCGUCCCUACAUUCGCUUGAAGCAAAGGCAGUGUGACUUGGUGUUGGAAAUUGUGGCGGAACUUAAACAUUCCAGCCGCUUAUCCCCUCAGGAUUUUUUGACUCUGGCAAGAAAAGUGGAUGUUUUUGAGGAAUUGAAUGAUUCUAAGAAACGCACCAUCAAGUCGAGUCAAGUGGCAGAAUUCAUGGGUGUACAGCAUAUCCUAAUCCCGUAGAGACUGAGACCUAGGCUGGGUUAGCCCCUCAGCGUAAGUCGAGAAGCCUUGUAUAUCAGGGUAUUCAAAUGUCGGCUCCUGUUUUCGUUAAUGGUGAGAAGCAGGAUGAAGAUAUAGUCCAUGCCCGUAGUGAUACGGAAAACCAUGCGUGAGACAGUUCGGUCCAUAUCCGGUAUAGGCGUUGGAGUAUUGAGAGGAGCCCUCCUUAGUACGAGAGGACCGGGAGGGACGCACCGCUGGUGUACCUGUUAUCGUGCCAACGGUAAACGCAGGGUAGCCAUGUGCGGAGUGGAUAACCGCUGAAAGCAUCUAAGUGGGAAGCCCACCUCAAGAUGAGUACUCUUAGGUCACAGGCAGACGACCUGUUGAUAGGCAUCAGGUGUAAGUGCAGCAAUGUAUUCAGCCGAGAUGUCCUAACAGACCGUAUUACUUGUUCAU